rnacentral:rRNA from 1 species
UUGCCUCAGUAACGGCGAGUGAAGCGGCAACAGCUCAAAUUUGAAAUCUGGCCCCAGGCCCGAGUUGUAAUUUGCAGAGGAUGCUUCGGGCGCGGUGCCUUCCAAGUCCCCUGGAACGGGGCGCCACAGAGGGUGAGAGCCCCGUCGGGUCGGCCGCCAAGCCUGUGUGAAGCUCCUUCGACGAGUCGAGUAGUUUGGGAAUGCUGCUCUAAACGGGAGGUAGACCCCUUCUAAAGCUAAAUACCGGCCAGAGACCGAUAGCGCACAAGUAGAGUGAUCGAAAGAUGAAAAGCACUUUGAAAAGAGGGUUAAACAGUACGUGAAAUUGUUGAAAGGGAAGCGCUUGUGACCAGACGUGCACCGGGUGCUCAGCGGGCGUUCUCGCCCGUGCACUCGCUCCGGUGCAGGCCAGCGUCGGUUCGGGAGGGGGGACAAAGGCGUCAGGAACGUGGCUCUUAGGAGUGUUAUAGCCUGGCGUGUCAUGCCCCCGCCUGGACCGAGGUUCGCGCUCCGCAAGGACGCUGGCGUAAUGGUCCCCAGCGACCCGUCUUGAAACACGGACCAAGGAGUCGAGGUUUUGCGCGAGUGUUUGGGUGUCAAACCCGCACGCGUAAUGAAAGUGAACGCAGGUGGGAGCUUCGGCGCACCACCGACCGAUCCUGAUGUUCUCGGAUGGAUUUGAGUAGGAGCGUAGGGCCUCGGACCCGAAAGAUGGUGAACUAUACUUGGAUAGGGUGAAGCCAGAGGAAACUCUGGUGGAGGCUCGCAGCGGUUCUGACGUGCAAAUCGAUCGUCAAAUCUGAGUAUGGGGGCGAAAGACUAAUCGAACCAU